rnacentral:rRNA from 1 species
AACGAACGCUGGCGGCAUGCCUAACACAUGCAAGUCGAACGAGACCUUCGGGUCUAGUGGCGCACGGGUGCGUAACGCGUGGGAACCUGCCCUUAGGUUCGGAAUAACUCCCCGAAAGGGGUGCUAAUACCGGAUAAUGCCUUCGGACCAAAGAUUUAUCGCCUUUGGAUGGGCCCGCGUUGGAUUAGCUAGUUGGUAGGGUAAAAGCCUACCAAGGCGACGAUCCAUAGCUGGUCUGAGAGGAUGAUCAGCCACACUGGGACUGAGACACGGCCCAGACUCCUACGGGAGGCAGCAGUGGGGAAUAUUGGAGAAGGGGCGAAAGCCUGAGCCAGCAAUGCCGCGUGAGUGAUGAAGGCCUUAGGGUUGUAAAGCUCUUUUACCCGGGAUGAUAAUGACAGUCCCGGGAGAAUAAGCUCCGGCUAACUCCG